CUAGAGUUUCAUAAAGGUUACUCAUUGUCAGAGUCCGAUGUGCAGGGCCGGACGUGCCUGAGGGAGAGCCAGAGAUAGGACUUGCCGAACCAGCUAUCAGCCCCAAGGACACUGACCAUCCUUCCUUCCCCAAGGACACCCUCCCCUUCCUUCACCCCCCUGAGUGAGAUGAGCCACCCUACCUGCCUGCCGAGCUGCUAGAUAACACACACUCCUUGCUGAUGUCAUUUCGCGCCGAAAGUAACCGUGCACCUUUUGAAUUGACCAAUCAUGUGUAACCGCGCGAAUGCCCCUUACCUCCCCUAUAAAAACCCCCGAGUUUGGAAGCUCGGGGUCGAUUCCUCUGUCUCCUGUGUGAGAUACGUGUCGACCCGGGAUCCCGCUAAGACCUGGGAUCUCGUUAAUAAAGCUACCUCUUGCUGUUACAUCAAGAAUGGCUCCUCGUGAUUCCUGGGGGCACCCCACCCUGCGAUCGGAGCGAGAGACGCGGCUCCCCGUUUUGGGGUACGCUCUUUCAUUUGGGGGCUCGUCCGGGAUCGGAGCGUGACCCCCGGAACCCCGAAUGCCACUUGCAGGUACGUUAGUGUGAGUGCUGGAAAGAGGCCGCUGUGUGUGAGUGUGUGUGAAUUAAGUCCUGUAGUCUGUGUUUUUCGGUACCGGUUUAAGGUCUUAGUGCACUGUCUGGGCAGAUGAAGGAUUCCUGCCCUGUGCACGAGAGUCUUAGUGCACUGUCUGGGCAGAAGAAGGUUUCCUGCCCUGUGCACGGGUGGAAGAAGGAUUCCCGCCCGGUAGAAAGCUAGCUUGAGAGUGCACUGUCUGGGCAGAAGAAGGAUUCCUGCCCUGUGCACGGGUGGAAGAAGGUUCCCCACCCCGAAUAGGCGCCUGUGAGUAGAUGAAGGAUUCCUACUCUGAAUAGUCUUUUUCUAGUCUUUUUCUUUUUUUUUUCCUUUUUAGAAAGCUCACUGGGGGACGCCCCAAUCGAGCAGGCUCUGGGACGCGUGAGAGACGUUCCUCGAGCCAGCCUUUGUCGGGUCCUGGCUCUGGGACGCGUGAGAGACGUUCCACGAGCCGAAUUUUGUCGGGAGGACCCGGCAACGGACAGUCAAAAAGAUCUGACUGUGACUUGACUUUCGAGGUUGCGUUCGGCUGCCUAUUUGAGUGUAGGCAUGGACAAGUGUGCUUAGAUGUGUUAGUGUCUGUUGUCUGUAUUCUGUUUCUGUGUUUGGUAUCCCAGAAGCAGCUAAGGUUAAGCUGCAGUUUGGGCCAGGUACUGAAGGUACCAGGCAUCUGUGGAAAUUGGUUAUAGGAUGCUUUGUUUUAGUCUUGCUUGUCUGGUUUGUUUUCUGUGGUAUUGCCGAGUGUCUUUUUUUGGCUUUUGUUUCGUGUUUGAAUUUGGACUGACGACUGUGUUUAAAAUCUUGGACCGACGACUGUGUUUGAAAUCAUGAAACUGUUUGCUUUGUUCGUUGAAGAGUUUUACUUGGUCCCCUUAAUGCUUAGUGAGUAAGGAACUUAAUUUUGUGGACCCCGCUCUAGUGGCGGUGUGUUGGUUGAUAGCCAAAGUUAGUUUUUAAAACAGUGUUUUAUCUGUGCUUGUGCUCGCAGCCAGCUGAGAUAAGCUAGAGAAGUGAGUAAAUAUUGCUUGGGAGCAAAGAAUCUUAAAGGCAGAGUUUCAGCCGGUAUGACACGUAGUGCAUAACUGCCUAAAAGAUCAGAAAUGCUGUCAACAGGCUAUAAAAAAAAAAAGGGGGGGGGGACAGGCUGCGUUAGAAACGCUACAGGAAGAAUAAUCUAAAAAGGCUGAGAGCUAGGUCGGGCUAUAAGGAAAACAAGAACAGGAAAGGAAUUUCUGACAUUUGCUCACAGAAGGAGAGCACUCAUUUAGAGAAGUUCUUUAAGGAAGCCUGCCUUAUCUGCUGUCUUUAUUCCAAGGGAGGAGUCAGUCUCCAGCACUAAAUUACUUGGAGGUGGCCAAGGUCAGGAUUAAUGUUUUCUUUUCCUUGGGCCCUUUAAACCCAGAGAGACAGUUUGGUAAAGGGCUACUACUGAGGUCCUGAUAGCCCCAGGUGAACUGGUUACGAUUCUUCUGUCAGCCACCUGGCAUCUAGCACCCAGGUUCUAACCAUCUCUCCAUCCUUUUGUUAUUAGUUGUUACUAGAAGCCUAGUGUCAUUUGGAGGCUAGUUCUCUUGAGAGACAAAGCUACGGAGCUCACACUGAAGAGAGAUGCUCCUUGAGGGAAAACCUAACUCUAGAGAGAUAGUCGAUAACAGAUUGGCUGCCUCUCUGUUCACCUUUCUGUUUCAUAGACAAAGCUUGUGCUUAUUUGUACAAUGGCCUUUUCGUUCCAAGAAAGGCCUCCUGGUUUAACUGUGUGACUAAAUGCUGUUUGCCCUCUUCGGUAGACUCUAUUCUCAAGAUUCUCUUGUUUUCUCACCAUCCCAUUUGAUAUGCUUGUUAGUAACUGUUACAGGUCUUCUUUACCACCAAGGAAAGACGGAAUCCUACUGGAGACCAGAAAAAAAUGUUCCAGACACGGAUAGAAGGCCCUCACUUCUGCCUGCUCUCUUCAGACGCCUGAAGGUAGGGAGUGCCAGGUCUGCCGCCAGGCUCCAAGGGUGGGUCUCUGAGGGGCUGGAAAGUGCCCCAGCAAUCUGGCUAAGAUAAGGAAAAGAUAUGAAGAGAAAGUUACAGAAACUUGAAGGGUUAAGCUAAGUCACUGAGAGAGUUAUUGUAAGUUGCAGAGAAAAUAAGUUGAUGCAUGGUUCAGGGUCUGUGCAGAAAAGUGGACAGCACCUAAUAGCUGUAGAAGAAGAUGCAGAGAGACUGAAAAGAAAGAAAGAAAGAAAGAAAGAAAGAAAGAAAGAAAGAAAGAAAGAAAGAGGUAAAAAGAGCAGGAAGCUAGGGAAGAAAAGAGACUAAAAGAAGAGGAAGCUAGAGAGUUAAAGAGAGAUAGAAGACAAGAGAGGAACAUAUACUGGCCACAGUAGUUAGGGAACCUAGGAAGAUAGUACCUGGCAACAGAAGAGAAUUCCUGGCUAAAGAUCAGUGUGCCUAAUACGAAGAAAAAAAGGACACUGGGUCAGGGACUGCCCAAGAAGAACAAGAGGGGCCACUGGAGAGCCUCUUGGUCCUAGAGUGCUGGCUAUGUACAGAGAUAGAAGGGAAGUGUGGAUACAGGGACCCAAUGCUCUGUGCUCCUAUGCCCCCCAGUGGGCCAAUAUCCAAAGACCUUGAGUGCAAGGGGCUACUGGCAACGAACAAUACUUAUGGACUGCCCGAAGAACAGUGGACCUUGGCGUGGGCCGGGUAACCCACCCACUAAUUCAUGGUCAUCCCUGACUGCCCCUAUCCCUUGCUCAUGAGAAAAUUGCUCUCCAAAAUGGCUUGCGUGGGCUGAAAUGGCUGGGUGAGGCCAUGUGUAUACAUAUCUACAGACUGUGUAUGUGGAGCUUAAGACCUGUCUCAGUGCACCAGUACCUGAUGCUGGGAGAUGUGUGACUUAGUCCUGAUCUGCCUGGAACACAUCACUCCUGCCAACCGGGCACUAACAAUUAUCACCCAAUCCAGGACUUAAACUGUGAUAGAGUGGCUGAUGUUCUGUCUUUGAAUAGAGUGUCCCAAAAGAUGGGACCACUGGUCAGCUGCCAUGGACUAGAUUCUCCACCGGUUGGGGACAAUCUGGUCACCUUGCUGCCCAAUCCGGACCUGGAGCCACCACAGCACGAGUGUCAAGUACUGGCAGAAGCCCAUGGGUGGAGGAAAGACCUCUGUGACUGGCUGAUUGACCCCUGCUGAAAGCCGAGGACCUUGUCCACAGACGGGAACAGUUCUCUUCAUGAAUGAAGUACAUCAGCACUGCAGAUGCCUUUACCAUCUCUUGGAUGCCCUGGUGAAGCCAACAACUGUGAGUACUAUUCAUUGCUCAGGAUAUCAGGAGGGAAGAGAUUCAGUGACAUGGGGCAAUAACGAAGCAGAUAAAGUGGCUCGAAAAAUGGUUAUGCAGGAGCCCAUCCUGGUUGCAGGCCUGCAAGAGACAGCCACUGGGAACUGGGAUCGGACUAAGGGAUGGCCUCACUUAGAAAAGGCCCAAAUUGCUUAAAAGAUAAAGGACAAUGGCACACUUGAGGGGAAAGCUAUACUCCCCAGAGAAUAAAGGAAAGACUCACUUUGCCAAAUACAGAAAUGGACUCAUUUAGGAGAUAAAAAGUUUGUCCAAGUAGUUAAGUGUAUGUAAUAGACUUUAAGAUUUUAGCCAGAGAGGCAGUAGAAAGUAUAAGGUAUGUCAAUAAGUGAAUGCUUAGCAAGCAAACAGGGCAAAGAGACCUAGAGAGUUUAGUGAAAAGUCGAAGUGAACUUCACUGAGAUAAAACAAGAAAAAUAUAAUCACAAGUAUCUCCUAGUGCUUGUAGAUACUUUUUCAGGAAUAGAUAGACGCUUUCCUCACCAAACGAGAGACAGCCUCUGCAAUCAUCAAGAAGAUACUGGAAGAAAUCUUCCCCAGGUCUGGAAUGCCCAAGGUAAUCUGGUCAGACAACGGCCCAACUUUCGUUGCCAAGGUAAGCCAGGGUGUGGCCAAGUAUUUAGAGGUCGAUUGGAAAUUACAUUGUAUUUACAGACCUCAAAGUUCAGGACAGGUAGAGUAAAUAAAUAAAAUUUUAAAAGAGACCCUGACCAAAUUAAAUUAACCAUGGAGACUGGCGCAGACUGGGUGACACUCCUUCCCUCUUGCUCUCUUCAGAGCAAGAAAUACCCCUUCCAGAUUCAGCCUUACCCCCUUUGAGAUCUUAUAUGGGGCCUCAGUCCCCCUGACUGUAUUAGAUGAUGUUACUGAACCAACAUGUCAUAGUGCCAUAGUAAUAAUGAUUUGUGUGCCAGGCUAAAAGACCUUCAGGUGAUACAGAAAGAAAUCUGCUCACAGCUGACAGCAGCCUAUGCCCCGGAGACCCCUGAGACAUCCCAUCAGUUCCAGGUCGGAGAUUGCAGCUACACUGAGCCCAGACACUCGAGCCUCGCUGGAAAGGACCGUACCUGGUGCUGCUGACCACCCUGAGAGCUGUCAAUUCUCAGCCCUCACCAGCCGUGUACUAGCUGUUGGGGCUGAGAGCUGGGACCUAGAGGGAAACUCAGUCAUGUUUGUCCUGGGUUCUAUCAAGAUAGGUGUGGGAUAGGCUUGAUUUCCAUUACAAAUGAUGUAACAUUGCAUAUGUUAGUACUCUUAACACUUCUUGGGACUGUGCCUCAGGGAUCACAGUCUGUAUAAGCUUAGAAGUUCUAAAAGCUAGUCAUGACCUUGGUGGAUAGGCUUGGAUAGUGUCCAGGUUAGAAUCCUCAUGUUAAGACAACAAUACCAAGCUGUUAUGCUAGAUGAAGCUGAGUUCUCCAUGAAGUUCUAGGAUUAGAACUAUUAACAAAAAAAAGAAGUGGGGAAUGUAGAACUAGAGUUUCAUAAAGGUUACUCAUUGUCAGAGUCCGAUGUGCAGGGCCGGACGUGCCUGAGGGAGAGCCAGAGAUAGGACUUGCCGAACCAGCUAUCAGCCCCAAGGACACUGACCAUCCUUCCUUCCCCAAGGACACCCUCCCCUUCCUUCACCCCCCUGAGUGAGAUGAGCCACCCUACCUGCCUGCCGAGCUGCUAGAUAACACACACUCCUUGCUGAUGUCAUUUCGCGCCGAAAGUAACCGUGCACCUUUUGAAUUGACCAAUCAUGUGUAACCGCGCGAAUGCCCCUUACCUCCCCUAUAAAAACCCCCGAGUUUGGAAGCUCGGGGUCGAUUCCUCUGUCUCCUGUGUGAGAUACGUGUCGACCCGGGAUCCCGCUAAGACCUGGGAUCUCGUUAAUAAAGCUACCUCUUGCUGUUACAUC